AUCCAGCUGAUGACGAGUCCCAAAUAGGACGAAACCCGCGUCCUGGAU
rfam:Schistosoma margrebowiei strain Zambia genome assembly, scaffold: SMRZ_scaffold0000746